AGCGCCUCUGCGUUCUGAUUCUAUGGAACCUUUUUGUAGGGAGAAGGGCAGGAUGUUUUUAACUGAAUGUGACCUCAGGGGAAUACUAGAGAAAAUAAUAAAAUUUCUGAAUGGGGCAGCGUGGAGAAAUCCUAAGAGAAAUAGCAUAAGAGCAUUUUGGAACACAUCCAGGAAAAGAUAACUUUCGACACACCUGUAGACGUUCGCCAGGUAAAGUGGCUGAAGAAGAGUGCGGGAGUACAGCAGGAGUGGCAGAAAUCCAGUGGAGCACAAACACUAAGUAUGGGCUCAUACAGAAGAGGAGGAAUCAUGCCACACCCUUGCCACCCCACCUGUGCCACCCCAUUCUCUUAUUCAGCUCAGAACCAGGAAGGACUCCUUCCUGGGGGGAAAAGGUAAGCAGGAGGUACCCAGCAGCCCCUAUUACCAUUGUGGACACCAGCAGUCUUCACCACUGGAGAAUUCUACAGUCCUCAAGGUCCCUGAGCUCAGCUUGGGGAGCUGCCUGGAGUUCACAUAGCUGCACUGCUCCAAAGAAGGAGCCCACAUUGUGCCUCAACUCUUGUAGGCCAAGCU
rnacentral:lncRNA from 10 species